rnacentral:rRNA from 1 species
UAAAUACUACUGACUGACCGAUAGUGAACCAGUACCGUGAGGGAAAGGCGAAAAGAACCCCUGUGAGGGGAGUGAAAUAGAACCUGAAACCGUGUACGUACAAGCAGUAGGAGCAGGCUUUGUCCUGUGACUGCGUACCUUUUGUAUAAUGGGUCAGCGACUUAUAUUCAGUGGCAAGGUUAACCAUCUAGGGGAGCCGUAGGGAAACCGAGUCUUAACUGGGCGUUCAGUCUCUGGAUAUAGACCCGAAACCAGGUGAUCUAGCCAUGGGCAGGUUGAAGGUUGAGUAACAUCAACUGGAGGACCGAACCGACUAAUGUUGAAAAAUUAGCGGAUGACUUGUGGCUAGGGGUGAAAGGCCAAUCAAACCUGGAGAUA